UCCGGUUUGACACCGGCAGUCUCGCUAGAGUCCUCGCCAUUACGCGUUAGCAACUAGCGACAGGGGUUGCGCUCGUUAAGGGACUUAACCCGACACUUCACAGCACGAGCUGACGACAGCCAUGCAGCACCUGUGUACGUUCCACUCUUGCGAGUGUCAUUACUGUUUCCAAUAACUAAUCCGUACAUGUCAAACCCAGGUAAGGUUCUUCGCGUUGCUUCGAAUUAAGCAACAUGCUCCACCGCUUGUGUGAGCCCCCGUCAAUUCCUUUGAGUUUUAAUCUUGCGACCGUACUCCCCAGGCGGUGCACUUAACAAUUUCUCUCCGACCGGUACCGGGUGAAACCGGCACCGAUCUAGUGCACAUCGUUUACAGCGUGGACUAC
rnacentral:misc_RNA from 1 species